GCCGGGGUGGCGGAAUUGGUAGACGCGGCGGAUUCAAAAUCCGCUUCUAGAAAUAGAGUGGGGGUUCGAGUCCCCCCCUCGGCA
rnacentral:tRNA from 1 species